UAGUAACUGCGAGUGAAGCGGGAAAAGCUCAAAUUUAAAAUCUGGCAGUCACUGGCUGUCCGAGUUGUAAUCUAGAGAAGUAAUGCCCGUGCUGGACCGUGUAUAAGUCUCCUGGGAUGGAGCGUCAUAGAGGGUGAGAAUCCCGUCUUUGACACGGACUACCAGUGCAUUGUGGUAUGCUCUCAAAGAGUCGAGUUGUUUGGGAAUGCAGCUCAAAAUGGGUGGUAAAUUCCAUCUAAAGCUAAAUAUUGGCGAGAGACCGAUAGCGAACAAGUACCGUGAGGGAAAGAUGAAAAGAACUUUGGAAAGAGAGUUAAACAGUACGUGAAAUUGCUGAAAGGGAAACGCUUGAAGUCAGUCGCGUUGGCCGGGAAUCAGCCUUGCUUCUGCAUGGUGUACUUUCUGGUUGACGGGUCAGCAUCAAUUUCGAUCGCUGGAAAAAGACAUGGGGAAUGUGGCAGCUUCGGCUGUGUUAUAGCCUCUAGUCGCAUACAGUGGUUGGGAUUGAGGAACUCAGCACGCCGCAAGGCCGGGUUUCGACCACGUUCGUGCUUAGGAUGCUGGCAUAAUGGCUUUAAGCGACCCGUCUUGAAACACGGACCAAGGAGUCUAACAUGCCUGCGAGUAUUUGGGUGGAAAACCCAAGUGCGUAAUGAAAGUGAAAGUUGAGAUCCCUGUCGUGGGGAGCAUCGACGCCCGGACCAGAACUUUUGGGACGGAUCCGCGGUGGAGCAUGUAUGUUGGGACCCGAAAGAUGGUGAACUAUGCCUGAAUAGGGUGAAGCCAGAGGAAACUCUGGUGGAGGCUCGUAGCGAUUCUGACGUGCAAAUCGAUCGUCAAAUUUGGGUAUAGGGGCGAAAGACUAAUCGAACCAUCUAGUAGCUGGUUCCUGCCGA
rnacentral:rRNA from 1 species